ensembl:snoRNA SNORA70 Small nucleolar RNA SNORA70
CUGAGUUCAUUUAAUCUGACUGGGUUCCUUUCUUCCUGGUGGCCUUCUGUGCAGUGGCUACAGACAGCAGCCUCCUUGGUAGUACUGUUACCUGUUGCUUGUACAGGUGGCCAUAUGGGACCUUGGAGACCGUC